rnacentral:rRNA from 1 species
AAGGCGCUUCGGGAGGGGCCCGCGUCCGAUUAGCUCGUUGGUGAGGUAACGGCUCACCACGGCGACGAUCGGUAGGUGGUCUGAGAGGACGAUCACCCAGACUGGGACUGAGACACGGCCCAGACUCCUACGGGAGGCAGCAGUCGGGAAUUUUGCGCAAUGGACGAAAGUCUGACGCAGCAACGCCGCGUGAGGGAUGAAUGCCUUCGGGUUGUAAACCUCUUUUGUCAGGGAAGAUAAUGACGGUACCUGGCGAAUAAGUCACGGCUAACUACGUGCCAGCAGCCGCGGUAAUACGUAGGUGACAAGCGUUGUCCGGAUUUACUGGGCGUAAAGAGCGCGCAGGCGGUCGUUCAAGUCGAGUGUGAAAGCCCCCGGCUCAACUGGGGAGGGUCACUCGAUACUGAUCGACUCGAAGGCAGGAGAGGGAAGUGGAAUUCCCGGUGUAGUGGUGAAAUGCGUAGGUAUCGGGAGGAACACCAGUGGCGAAGGCGACUUCCUGGCCUGUUCUUGACGCUGAGGCGCGAAAGCUAGGGGAGCAAACGGGAUUAGAUACCCCGGUAGUCCUAGCCGUAAACGAUGGACACUAGGUGUUGGUGGUAUCAACCCCGCCAGUGCCGAAGCUAACGCAUUAAGUGUCCCGCCUGGGGAGUACGGCCGCAAGGCUAAAACUCAAAGGA